AAUCAUAUCAACACCAUUAAAACAGUAUAACAUUUUUUAAAAUGAUUUUUCAAUAGUAGAAUGAUCCUCUCUAAUAAGAAAAUUAUUCAUAAACUUAUUCUCAUUAUUUAAAAGUUUACUAUUUAAUAAUUAGUCUUUUCUGCAAACAUCAACAAAAAUGGCAGUAAAU